AUGCCACAGCCUUGCUUGUGUGUGCUUCUU
rnacentral:piRNA from 1 species